GAUGAACGCUGGCGGCGUGCCUAAUACAUGCAAGUCGAGCGAACGGACGAGAAGCUUGCUUCUCUGAUGUUAGCGGCGGACGGGUGAGUAACACGUGGAUAACCUACCUAUAAGACUGGGAUAACUUCGGGAAACCGGAGCUAAUACCGGAUAAUAUUUUGAACCGCAUGGUUCAAAAGUGAAAGACGGUCUUGCUGUCACUUAUAGAUGGAUCCGCGCUGCAUUAGCUAGUUGGUAAGGUAACGGCUUACCAAGGCAACGAUGCAUAGCCGACCUGAGAGGGUGAUCGGCCACACUGGAACUGAGACACGGUCCAGACUCCUACGGGAGGUAGCAGUAGGGAAUCUUCCGCAAUGGGCGAAAGCCUGACGGAGCAACGCCGCGUGAGUGAUGAAGGUCUUCGGAUCGUAAAACUCUGUUAUUAGGGAAGAACAUAUGUGUAAGUAACUGUGCACAUCUUGACGGUACCUAAUCAGAAAGCCACGGCUAACUACG
rnacentral:rRNA from 1 species